GAUGAACGCUAGCGGUGUGCCUUAAGCAUGCAAGUCGAGCGGCCGAUGCUUUGCAUCGGAAAACUCGAAGCGCGAAUAUCAAAACCCGAAACAAAUUUAAUCCCCCAGCUGGCGGAUUUGAAAAUUAAGGAUUGUUUCGGAUUUCGGAUUUCGAGUUUCGGAUUUCCGCUGCAGAGCAGCGGUUAGCGGCGGACGGCUGAGUAACACGUAGGUAGCUACCCUUUAGCGGGGGAUAGCCCGCCGAAAGACGGAGUAAUCCCGCAUAAUCCCCGCCUUUGGUGGGGGAAAGAGCUUAACUGCUCACUAAAGGAGGCGCCUGCGGCCUAUCAGCUUGUUGGUAGGGUAAUGGCCUACCAAGGCAAAGCGGUAGGGGGCUGAGAGCGUGGGCCCCCCAGAACUGGGACUGAGACACGGCCCAUACACCUACGGGUGGCAGCAACUGGGAAUCUUGCGCUAUGGGCGAAAGCCUGACGCAGCGACACCGCGUGAAGGAUGAAGGCCUUCGGUGUAAACUUCUGUUAAAU
rnacentral:rRNA from 1 species